rnacentral:rRNA from 1 species
UACGUAGGGUGCGAGCGUUGUCCGGAAUUAUUGGGCGUAAAGCGCUCGUAGGCGGUGUGUCACGUCGGCCGUGAAAACCUGGGGCUUAACUCUGGGCGUGCGGUCGAUACGGGCAUCACUAGAGUUCGGCAGGGGAGACUGGAAUUCCUGGUGUAGCGGUGAAAUGCGCAGAUAUCAGGAGGAACACCAAUUGCGAAGGCAGCUCGCUGGGACGUUACUGACGCUGAGACGCGAAAGCGUGGGGAGCAAACAGG